CCUACGGGAGGCAGCAGUGGGGAAUUUUGCGCAAUGCUCGUAAGAGUGACGCAGCGACGCCGCGUGAAUGACGAAGGCCUUCGGGUCGUAAAGUUCUUUCGACAGGGAAGAAAAUGCCUAUAAGUAACUGUGUAUGUAUUGACGGUACCUGUAUAAGCAGCCCCGGCUAACUCCGUGCCAGCAGCCGCGGUAAUACGGAGGGGGCGAGCGUUGUUCGGAGGGACUGGGCGUAAAGAGCACGUAGGCGGUGUUGUAAGUCAUUAGUCAAAGACUAGAGCUCAACUUUAGUAAGGCUAGUGAUACUAUAAUACUAGAGUAGCAGAGAGGAUUGCAGAAUUCCUGGUGUAGCGGUGAAAUGCGUAGAUAUCAGGAGGAAUACCGUUAGCGAAGGCGGCUAUCUGGCUGGAAACUGACGCUGAGGUGCGAAAGCGUGGGUAGCAAACAGGAUUAGAUACCCUAGUAGUC
rnacentral:rRNA from 1 species